rnacentral:rRNA from 1 species
ACUCCUACGGGAGGCAGCAGUGGGGAAUAUUGCACAAUGGGGGAAACCCUGAUGCAGCAACGCCGCGUGAGUGAUGAAGGUCUUCGGAUUGUAAAGCUCUGUCUUUUGGGACGAUAAUGACGGUACCAAAGGAGGAAGCCACGGCUAACUACGUGCCAGCAGCCGCGGUAAU